rnacentral:lncRNA from 1 species
UCAGCGUUCUACAGUGAUUUUAUUAAAGAAACAUACUUUUAUUUAUUUUGCAAAGUCAGAAACUCGACUAAGGUCCUCAAAUACAACAACAAAGAGAAAAUAACGAGUCAAACGGGUACCCAUGAAAAUAAAAACGAGUGAAAACAUAAACAUCUUUCUCCUUGUCAUCCUCCACACCCCGCAAACGCCCGACCCUCUACGGUUACCUGCAAAGAAAAGGGGGGGGGGGAAUGAGCAAUCAUAGAUUACUCAGUGAGUUCCCAAACACACAACAACAACGACCCCUCACCUCUGCUCAAACACAAGCAAUAAACAGAAUGAAACGCGGAAGAGUAAACGUGAAACAACUUAAAGCAAUGCAAUAACUUAAACAUGAAUGCAAUGCAAUGACUUAAACAUGAAUGUAAUGCAAUGACUCUACUCCCUAGUCUCAUCCCGAGACCUAAAUACAAACUCCACGACAAUCUAAACUCAAUCCUAGACUCGACUCCACCAAAAACAAAACACUUGAAGGACGGAGCCUCAUGCUACACAUCCCGGGAUCCCUUCACACCACGGAGUGCUAUCUCUCCACCCUGAACACUCCCGACCACAAACACCAAAGUCACAUGUCCGGAAAAUAGCACUUCGGGAAUUGGGCUUCUCCCAAUCUAACCCGGGCCGCAUCGUCAUGCAGCGCUUGUCCAUGGGUGCGACCCACUUCACGUGACAAGCCGUGGAGAGUAGGUCACUCCACCACUGGAGAAUUAGGCUUCUCCCAAUCUAACUCCGAGACGGCCACACACUCACAAGCGCUAGUCUAGAUGCAACACAACACAACUAGCAUGAGGGAGCUCCACCUCUAACCUCCAUGUGACGCGCAUCUAGACUGAAUGCAAGACACAAACACACACUCGCACUAGUUAGACUAAAACACACAACACAACUAGCAUGAGGAAGCUCCACUUCUAACCUCCAUGCAACACUUGGUCUAGACUCAAAAUAAAACGACUCAAGUGAGCGACACACUAAACAACUACCCGACAUAAGAGAGAGUCUCACUCAAAUCUCUAUGCAACCCCAACUACACUACAUGCAAUACAUAUGAACCGGCAUGAGAGAGUUCCACUCAAAUCUACAUGCUACACAACUCCAAAACAUAUGCAACUACAAAACUAACAAUGCAUGCAUGUAAUCUAACCACUUAACAACACAAUGCAUAUCAAUCAUGGCAUCACCCCUAGAUGACCAUGUUCACAACAAUAAGACAUGAUAUGCCUACUCAUAACUAUAUUAUGAAAUAUAAUUAAACACUCAAGUAUGGGGUUUACCAACUCCCAUACACACACACAUAAACCGCAAAGGCGAUUCAAGCUCAAGAACCCUCACGUUUGAAGCCCUCCAACCUGCACACACACAUGGUUAGCAACAUAUAACACUUACACACAUACACACAAAGGGAACCCAUAUAGGUCUUCACAAGCCGCACAAAACCUCCAAAAGCAAAAGAUCUAAGGUUCACGCUAAAACCGAUCAAAAAGAGACUUAAGGAUAAAAGAGGAAAGGAACUUACAAACUCAAAAUCUAAGGUCUUACCACCCUUCCAAGCACAGCACAACAUACCCUAGGACAAGGAUCAACACACGGAAAGGCCUCCUAUACUCUUCUCACACGCUCAUAAAAUUUUAUCUGUUUUAGAAAUUUUCUCUCUCAAGAACAAACCAUAAGACCGACUGAGAGAGAAGGCACAGCUGGU